rnacentral:rRNA from 1 species
UGGCGGCGUGCGUACACAUGCAAGUCGGACGGGUUUCUUGGCUUCGGCCAGGGGAUCAGUGGCGGACGGGUGCGUAACGCGUGCAUAACCUGCCCGGGUGUGGGGGAUACCCGCCAGAAAUGGCGGCUAAGACCGCAUAGGGUCGCCCCGGGGAUGCUUGCGGCGAAGAAAGCUUGUGGGGAGGCAAGGCCCUGCAGGCGCAGCCGGAGGGGUGCGCGGCCGAUUAGCUGGUUGGCGGGGUAAGAGCCCACCAAGGCGACGAUCGGUAGCUGGUCUGAGAGGAUGGUCAGCCACACUGGGAUUGAGAACGGCCCAGACUCCUACGGGGGGCAGCAGUGAGGAAUCUUCGGCAAUGGGGGCAACCCUGACCGAGCGACGCCGCGUGCGGGAGGACGGCCUUCGGGUUGUAAACCGCUUUUCGCGGGGACGAGGUUGGUACGGACGGUACCCGCGGAAGAAGCCUCGGCUAACUACGUGCCAGCAGCCGCGGUAAUACGUAGGAGGCGAGCGUNGUCCGGAGUUAUUGGGCGUAAAGGGUGCGCA